ncrna:unclassified sequences PhotoRC-II RNA
GAACACAUAACUGCUCCCGCUUAACCAAGACCUAUGGGAGGAUAAAUUACGUCUUAAUAUCCAGUAGUGAGGGAUUACUGGAAAUAAGUUUCGCA